CCUUCGGGAGCUGACGAGCGGCGGACGGGUGAGUAACGCGUGGGAAUCUACCCAGUAGCGGGGGACAACUCGGGGAAACUCGAGCUAAUACCGCAUACGACCUACGGGUGAAAGCAGGGGAUCUUCGGACCUUGCGUUAUUAGAGCGGCCGAUAUCUGAUUAGGUAGUUGGUGGGGUAAAGGCCUACCAAGCCGACGAUCAGUAGCUGGUCUGAGAGGACGAUCAGCCACACUGGAACUGAGACACGGUCCAGACUCC
rnacentral:rRNA from 1 species